AUUCUUGUAGCCAGCAACCUCUUUCUCCAAGGCAGCUGGGAAUCUCUCACCAUGGCUAAGGCCUUGAUGCUCUGCCUGUUUCUCACUUACUUUGGGGGUUGCAAUGCCCAGUUUACGAUGGACCAGCCGCCCUCUGUGUCAACCGCUCUUGGAGGAACAGUCCAGAUCUCCUGUAAAAGAAGCAGUGGGAGCAUAAGCAGCUACUAUAAUUCCUGGUACCAGCAGAUGCCUGGUAGUCGUCCGAAACUGCUCAUAUAUGAAGAUGAUGAUAGAGCCUCAGGAAUCUCCGACCGAUUCUCAGGUUCCCUUGACGGCUCUGCCAAUGCCGCCGUCUUAACCAUCUCCAACGUUCAGGCAGAGGACGAGGCCAAUUAUUACUGUUCAUCUUAUGACAGCAGCAACAAGCACACGAUGAUACAACCACAUGGGGAAAGAAACUUCUGUAAAAGAAAAAUGGCUGCUGUUCGGUUUGGGCCUGUGGGCCUGGACUAUGAAUUGACCAUAACACCAGGGUCUGAGCAGCAGCCCCCCAUCACUACCUUCUGA